rnacentral:misc_RNA from 1 species
GAAAUUUAAUUGAAGGAAGUUAAAAGAAAUUUAAUUCUUUAGAUCAAAUCUUCCUGCCUUUUAUUUUAAUGCACAAGCUUUCAUGUCUUGGCAUUAGGGGAACCCAUAAUAUUAGCUGCAUUUUUUGCUAAAUGGCUUUUCAUAUUCCCACCAGUCUGUGUUGGGCCCUUUGCAUUUGUCAUCUCGGCUACGAGAGUCGAUUUCUUUAUCGCUGCAAUUCUCUCUUUGUGGAUGUCACUGGUUAAUGGCUUCUUGUAGGCUCUGAUCUCAUCCCCACCAAAACCUGGGAGAGUCAUAUUCCAAUUCCUUUCAAGAUGCAGAAGGAUGUCCUUUGCUUCCAAUGUAUUGGAUUUCCGAUGCUUGGCCAAUGAACAGCCAAAUGUGGUAAUAGAUUCCACAAAUUCCUCUGCUAUAUCAACGAGGAUGUCUUCAACUUCAGCAUCCAAUUUCUCUGAUGGAUCAAUCUGGGUCACAAUCUCUUGGAUGCUUCUCUUGCUUAGAAUCCUAGUACAAGGAUCUCCCAUCUCUAAAGUGGUAGCAGCCUUACUAGGUAGCCCUGGCUGGACUGCAGUGGGUUGCAUCAAUGCAUGUGAUGAAGGUCUCUGGAUUCCUAAACCCUGACCCCGGCCAAGUGCUUGAUUAGAUAAUGAUUGUUGAAUCCUGGAUGGAGGCAUCUGUUGCCCCAAAUGAUCUUGGGACUGACUUGAGGUUGAAGGCUGUGACUGUUGGGCAGAGGAUGAAGUAGUAACAGCAUGCUGAUGCGCUGCAAGAAUAUGGGACCUUUGAUGCAAAGACUGAGGAUUAAUUUGAGGUCUCAAUGAUGGUGUCGGCAAAGGGGGCUUCCCCGGUGCUCCUGAAGAUAACCAUGGCUGAGUCUGUGUCCUUGGACUUUGAGAGGUAGUAGUAUGUGAUUGGGAUGGCGGAAAUCCGACUGACUGAACUCUCAACAUGCUAUGUCCUUGAAAAUUCUGUGUAGCAGCAGACUGACUACCGAUGCUCGUCUGAGGUCUGAUUGCAGAGGAGACAGGUCUCAGUUGCUGAGGAGAAAUCCCUGCGGGGCGCAUUGGUGAAGUUGAACCAAGUGAUCCCAUCAUUCCCAUCCCAUGCAUUCCUUGUAUAGGCUGCCUCACCUGUGAGGUAGUUGAGGUGGGUGGCGUAGAAUCAGGCAAAUUGCGACCUAAACCACCAAAUUGCUGUCCAUAAGAAGGCGUCGUCAAUGAAGAGAAAGAGCUACUAGGGUGAUGAGCAGGUACUCCCAUAGCCAUACCACCUCUAGGGUUUUGAUUUUGCAUAGAAACUGAAGAAGACGAAACCGAAGAAGAUGAUGACGACGAGUGAGGUGGUGGUGGUGGAGGUGGAGGA